GACGUAGGGGGCGAGCGUUGUCCGGAUUUAUUGGGCGUAAAGCGUGCGUAGGCGGCUGCGCAAGUCGGUUGUGAAACCCCGGGGCUCAACCCCGGAACUGCAUCCGAUACUGCGUGGCUAGAGGUAGGCAGGGGAGAACGGAAUUCCUGGUGUAGCGGUGAAAUGCGCAGAUAUCAGGAGGAACACCGGUGGCGAAGGCGGUUCUCUGGGCAUGUCCUGACGCUGAGGAGCGAAAGUGUGGGGAGCGAACAGG
rnacentral:rRNA from 1 species